AGAGUUUGAUCCUGGCUCAGAACGAACGCUGGUAGCGUGGAUUAGGCAUGCAAGUCGAACGGGAUCACCUGGAUAGCAAUAUUCGGGUGUGAGAGGGGCGGAUUGGGGAGGAACACGUGAGCAACCUGCCCUUGAGUUCGGGAAAACCGUUGGAAACGACGGCUAAUAUCGGAUGUGGCGUCGGAGGACAUCCUCUGAACGCUAAAGGGGGCCGCAAGGCUCCCGCUCAUCGAGGGGCUCGCGCACCAUCAGCUUGUUGGCGGGGUAACGGCCCACCAAGGCCUACGGUUAGCUGGUCUGAGAGGAUGACCAGCCCCACUGGGACUGAGAUACUGCCCAGACUCCUACGGGAGGCUGCAGUCGAGGAUCAUUUGCAAUGGGCGAAAGCCUGACAAUGCGACGCUGCGUGGAGGAUGAAGGCCUUCGGGUUGUAAACUCCUGUCAUAGGGGAACAGGCGAUCUUACCUAAUACGUAAGUGAGUUGAGUGUACCCUAAGAGGAAUUGGCGGCUAACUCUGUGCCAGCAGCCGCGGUAAUACAGAGGCCAAGAGCGUUGUUCGGAUUUACUGGGCGUAAAGGGCGCGUAGGCGGUCUUGCGUGUCAAGUGUGAAAUCUCCGGGCUCAACCCGGAAAGUGCGCUUGAAACUACAGGACUCGAGUCUGGGAGAGGGAAUCGGAAUGCAGGGUGUAGCGGUGAAAUGCGUUGAUAUCCCUGCAGAACACCGGAGGCGAAGGCGGAUUCCUUGAACAGCACUGACGCUGAGGCGCGAAAGUCGGGGGAGCAAACAGGAUUAGAUACCCUGGUAGUCCCGACCUUAAACGGGCACACUCGGGGGUGGGGCCCUUUCACCGGGUCCCUGCCCCUUAGCUAACCCGUUAAAUGGUGCCCCCUGGGGGAGUACGGCCCCCAAGGCUAAAACUUCAAAAAAAAUUGACGGGGGCCCCCACAAGCAGAGGAGCAUGUGGGCUUAAUUUGAUGCAACGCGAAGAACCUUACCUGGAUUUGACAUCGUCGGCAAGGCCCUAUGAAAGUAGGGCGGAGGUUACCCGAUAGACAGGUGCUGCAUGGCUGUCGUCAGUUCGUGCCGUGAGGUGUUUGGUUAAGUCCACCAACGAACGCAACCCCUUUGGUAUGUUGCCAUCAGGUAAUGCUGGGAACUCGUACCAUACUGCCUGUUUACGCAGGAGGAAGGUGAGGAUGACGUCAAGUCAGUAUGGCCCUUACAUCCAGGGCUGCACACGUGCUACAAUGGCGUAUACAGAGGGACGCAAGACCGCAAGGUGGAGCCAAUCCCAGAGAGUACGCCUCAGUUCAGAUCGGGGUCUGCAACCCGACCCCGUGAAGUCGGAUUUGCUAGUAACGGCGUAUCAGCUACGACGCCGUGAAUGAAAUCCCGGGCCUUGUACACACCGCCCGUCA
rnacentral:rRNA from 1 species